rnacentral:rRNA from 1 species
GAUGAACGCUGGCGGCGUGCCUAAUACAUGCAAGUCGAGCGAACAGACGCGGAGCUUGCUCCUCUGACGUUAGCGGCGGACGGGUGAGUAACACGUGGAUAACCUACCUAUAAGACUGGGAUAACUUCGGGAAACCGGAGCUAAUACCGGAUAAUAUAUUGAACCGCAUGGUUCAAUAGUGAAAGACGGUUUUGCUGUCACUUAUAGAUGGAUCCGCGCCGCAUUAGCUAGUUGGUAAGGUAACGGCUUACCAAGGCAACGAUGCGUAGCCGACCUGAGAGGGUGAUCGGCCACACUGGAACUGAGACACGGUCCAGACUCCUACGGGAGGCAGCAGUAGGGAAUCUGCCGCAAUGGGCGAAAGCCUGACGGAGCAACGCCGCGUGAGUGAUGAAGGUCUUCGGAUCGUAAAACUCUGUUAUUAGGGAAGAACAAAUGUGUAAGUAACUAUGCACGUCGUGACGGUACCUAAUCAGAAAGCCACGGCUAACUACGUG